AAUAAUACUAAUUAAACUGUCCUAAUGUCUACAAUUAAAUUUUUCGUUUCUGCGGGAACUAGAUUUUUGUCAUGUAAAAUUACAUGUAUGUACACAAUUUAUUUAUGUAUUUAAAAUGGAUGUGUGGAAGGAGUAAGUCUUAUUAUGGAUGUUUUCAUAACAUUUAAAUGUUUUUUAGUCUCUGCUAGAAACACUAAAAUACUGAGUAAAUUUUACGACACUAUUUUAGAGUGCGUUUGAAUCAGCGCAUGCGCAUUGGGACAAACUAAAGUACCGCGCAGAUGUCCAGUGUCCGUCCGUUCGUUGGCAGCAGACAGAGUUGUGAAUAUCUCCGGAAUCUCUCAGGCGACUGUUUUUGCAUUUAGCCGGCUGGGACAUGAGGUGACCAGAGAGUCAGGAGCGCUGGGCUGUUCAGUGACUCAUCAAAUACUGCACCGUUGUGAUUAGGCAAGUACAAAUACACUGCAUGUAUGCAUGACACAAUAUUGCUGUUUUUAUUGUUCAUCCAUUCUACAGUUCAGAUCUACAGAUCAAGGAGGAGUUUUGGAGAAUAACUACAAUUUCUCUAGAGCAAAGCUUCAUGCACAAACUAGACCACUAUACACCAAAGCUUACUGCCCUGAUGAAAGCCAAGGGAGGUGUUGUGGGGACCAGGCUGAGGCCCCAUCUGGAUAAACUGAGUCAGGUAUGUUUGAUGUAUCUUCUGCAGGAAGACAGAUCUACUGUGUGUCACAGUUUCACACACAUUCUGCCCCUGUCCUAGACAACACAAAUUCUCACUCUCUAACAUACUUCUCCUUUCCACACAUGGAAACAAACCACUGCUCCUUGCAAGUAUUCGUAUCUUCUGACAUGAUAGUAUAUUGUGUACAAAUUAUUGUUUGCAACUGAUGCUAUUACUCCUUUCACAGAACCCAAUCACUGACAUGUGACGUGACGCAGUUAUCAGUGGCCUCAUACUAUUCCUUGGUGAAAAAGAAGAGGAACUUUUCGAAGAUUGCCUGGAGGACAAUCUCAGUGAUGCCACUCAACACAUAGUCAAGAUCCUGGUUGUCCAUGGUACUGAUGGAGAAGAACCAGUAGAUGUUUCCAUCAUUCUUGAAGGGAAGGAGGUAUUGACAGGAUGCAACAGCACAGCCAAAGCUUCCACGUUGCUAAUGGGACUGAUUUAUUCCCUGAACCUUGCCUACCCCUCGACUCUGCGCUACACCUUUUGAGGUGUUUCAAAAACUUUUCCUGGAACUGAAUGGGAUAAAGCUGUCAACAAAAGUACAUCUUUGAAGUUGAAGUUGCUGUCUGAAAGGAGUUUUCUUUCUUAAAUGUUCCUAAUGUUGUCAACAAAGGCAACUGCUGUCAUGCAUGCUCACAAGGUAAAGAAAAAGUUAAAAAUAACCUUUGUUUUAACAGAGGCUUUGAUGUUGUCCUCAAACUUUAAUGUUUUAACCGAAUGCUAAUAUAAAUAUGUUAAUGGAUGUUGCGGUUUAGAAUGUUGUUCAUGUCAGUACAGCAUAUUUUGUCAGGUCAAACCCUCAAUCUGUUUUGUCACCUGAUGUGCCCUGUUUAGUUUAAUGCGUCCAGGGGUCAAAAACAUUUUGAUUUUCCAGUGAUAUGCUUUUUUUUCUGUAUAGCGUAAUGAUCACUCAGUAAAGGUAAACAUUUUUUCUUUAUUGAUGCUUGAUUGAUAUGAAUAAAUAAUUAAUUGUA